GACGAACGCUGGCGGCGUGCCUAAUACAUGCAAGUCGAACGCAGUGGGGAUGGGUGAGGAAAACGUGGGUAACCUCCCAUCAGAGGGGAUAACACUUGGAAACUGGUGCUAAACUGAUACUGAUGGAUGAACCCGCGGUGCAUUAGCUAGUUGGUGGGGUAACGGCUCACCAAGGCCACGAUGCAUAGCCGGACUGAGAGGGUGAGCGGCCACACUGGGACUGAGACACGGCCCAGACUCCUACGGGAGGCAGCAGUGGGGAAUAUUGGGCAAUGGACGAAAGUCUGACCCAGCCAUGCCGCGUGGGUGAAGAAGGUUUUCGGAUCGUAAAACACUGUUGUUAGGGAAGCGUUAUCUAACCAAGAAGCCACGGCUAACUACGUGCCAGCAGCCGCGGUAAUUC
rnacentral:rRNA from 1 species